rnacentral:tRNA from 1 species
GGAAGAACAAAUCGAUUGGUGACGAAAACUCGUUGGAAACGAGCUGAGUAUUUUAAAUGCCUUGAGAGUUCAAAUCUCUCUUCUUCCGCCA